rnacentral:rRNA from 1 species
UACGUAGGGAGCAAGCGUUUGUCCGGAAUCAUUGGGCGUAAAGCGCGCGUAGGCGGCCUCGUAAGUCCGUUGUGAAAGUCAAAGGCUCAACCUUUGAAAGCCGAUGGAUACUGUGAGGCUAGAGUCCGGAAGAGGCGAGUGGAAUUCCUGGUGUAGCGGUGGAAUGCGCAGAUAUCAGGAGGAACACUAAUAGCGAAGGCAGCUCGCUGGGACGGUACUGACGCUAAGGCGCGAAAGCGUGGGGAGCGAACAGG